ACCGGAGCUUGCUCCACCGAAAGAAAAAGAGUGGCGAACGGGUGAGUAACACGUGGGUAACCUGCCCAUCAGAAGGGGAUAACACUUGGAAACAGGUGCUAAUACCGUAUAACACUAUUUUCCGCAUGGAAGAAAGUUGAAAGGCGCUUUUGCGUCACUGAUGGAUGGACCCGCGGUGCAUUAGCUAGUUGGUGAGGUAACGGCUCACCAAGGCAACGAUGCAUAGCCGACCUGAGAGGGUGAUCGGCCACACUGGGACUGAGACACGGCCCAGACUCCUACGGGAGGCAGCAGUAGGGAAUCUUCGGCAAUGGACGAAAGUCUGACCGAGCAACGCCGCGUGAGUGAAGAAGGUUUUCGGAUCGUAAAACUCUGUUGUUAGAGAAGAACAAGGAUGAGAGUAAAAUGUUCAUCCCUUGACGGUAUCUAACCAGAAAGCCACGGCUAACUACGUGCCAGCAGCCGCGGUAAUACGUAGGUGGCAAGCGUUGUCCGGAUUUAUUGGGCGUAAAGCGAGCGCAGGCGGUUUCUUAAGUCUGAUGUGAAAGCCCCCGGCUCAACCGGGGAGGGUCAUUGGAAACUGGGAGACUUGAGUGCAGAAGAGGAGAGUGGAAUUCCAUGUGUAGCGGUGAAAUGCGUAGAUAUAUGGAGGAACACCAGUGGCGAAGGCGGCUCUCUGGUCUGUAACUGACGCUGAGGCUCGAAAGCGUGGGGAGCGAACAGGAUUAGAUACCCUGGUAGUCCACGCCGUAAACGAUGAGUGCUAAGUGUUGGAGGGUUUCCGCCCUUCAGUGCUGCAGCAAACGCAUUAAGCACUCCGCCUGGGGAGUACGACCGCAAGGUUGAAACUCAAAGGAAUUGACGGGGGCCCGCACAAGCGGUGGAGCAUGUGGUUUAAUUCGAAGCAACGCGAAGAACCUUACCAGGUCUUGACAUCCUUUGACCACUCUAGAGAUAGAGCUUCCCCUUCGGGGGCAAAGUGACAGGUGGU
rnacentral:rRNA from 1 species